AACGCUGGCGGCGUGCCUAACACAUGCAAGUCGUACGCGAAAGGGGGCAACCCCCGGUAGCGUGGCAGACGGGUGAGUAACACGUGGGUAACCUACCCGGAGGUGGGGGAUAACCCUUCGAAAGGAGGGCUAAUACCGCAUAACGCUUCAGGGUCUUCGGACCUCGAAACCAAAGCUGGCCUCUACUUGUAAGCUAGCGCCACUGGAGGGGCCCGCGCCCCAUUAGCUAGUUGGUGAGGUAACGGCUCACCAAGGCAACGAUGGGUAGCCGGCCUGAGAGGGCGAUCGGCCACACUGGAACUGAGACACGGUCCAGACUCCUACGGGAGGCAGCAGUGAGGAAUCUUGCGCAAUGGGCGAAAGCCUGACGCAGCGACGCCGCGUGGAGGAUGAAGGUCUUCGGAUCGUAAACUCCUGUCGAGCGGGACGAAUCCCGGAAGGGUGAACAAUCCUUUCGGUUGACGGUACCGCUGGAGGAAGCCCCGGCUAACUCCGUGCCAGCAGCCGCGGUAAUACGGAGGGGGCCAGCGUUGUUCGGAAUCAUUGGGCGUAAAAGGCGCGUAGGCGGCCGAGCAAGUCGGACGUGAAAUCCCCCGGCUCAACUGGGGAACUGCAUCCGAAACUGCUUGGCUUGAGUCCUGGAGAGGGUAGUGGAAUUCCCAGUGUAGCGGUGAAAUGCGUAGAUACUGGGAGGAACACCGGUGGCGAAGGCGGCUACCUGGACAGGUACUGACGCUGAGGCGCGAAAGCUAGGGGAGCA
rnacentral:rRNA from 1 species